ensembl:snRNA U6 U6 spliceosomal RNA
AUGCUCAUGUCGGCAGCACAUAUACUAAAAUUGGAAUGAUACAGAGAUUAACAUGGCCCCUAUGUAAGGAUGACAUGCAAGGUGGGUGUGGUGGCACAGGCCUGU